AGAGUUUGAUCCUGGCUCAGGACGAACGCUGGCGGCGUGCUUAACACAUGCAAGUCGAACGGAAAGGCCCUGCUUUUGUGGGGUGCUCGAGUGGCGAACGGGUGAGUAACACGUGAGUAACCUGCCCUUGACUUUGGGAUAACUUCAGGAAACUGGGGCUAAUACCGGAUAGGAGCUCCUGCUGCAUGGUGGGGGUUGGAAAGUUUCGGCGGUUGGGGAUGGACUCGCGGCUUAUCAGCUUGUUGGUGGGGUAGUGGCUUACCAAGGCUUUGACGGGUAGCCGGCCUGAGAGGGUGACCGGCCACAUUGGGACUGAGAUACGGCCCAGACUCCUACGGGAGGCAGCAGUGGGGAAUAUUGCACAAUGGGCGGAAGCUUGAUGCAGCAACGCCGCGUGCGGGAUGACGGCCUUCGGGUUGUAAACCGCUUUCGCCUGUGACGAAGCGUGAGUGACGGUAAUGGGUAAAGAAGCACCGGCUAACUACGUGCCAGCAGCCGCGGUGAUACGUAGGGUGCGAGCGUUGUCCGGAUUUAUUGGGCGUAAAGGGCUCGUAGGUGGUUGAUCGCGUCGGAAGUGUAAUCUUGGGGCUUAACCCUGAGCGUGCUUUCGAUACGGGUUGACUUGAGGAAGGUAGGGGAGAAUGGAAUUCCUGGUGGAGCGGUGGAAUGCGCAGAUAUCAGGAGGAACACCAGUGGCGAAGGCGGUUCUCUGGGCCUUUCCUGACGCUGAGGAGCGAAAGCGUGGGGAGCGAACAGGCUUAGAUACCCUGGUAGUCCACGCUGUAAACGGUGGGUACUAGGUGUGGGGUCCAUUCCACGGGUUCCGUGCCGUAGCUAACGCUUUAAGUACCCCGCCUGGGGAGUACGGCCGCAAGGCUAAAACUCAAAGGAAUUGACGGGGCCCCGCACAAGCGGCGGAGCAUGCGGAUUAAUUCGAUGCAACGCGUAGAACCUUACCUGGGUUUGACGUGGAUCGGGAGUGCUCAGAGAUGGGUGUGCCUCUUUUGGGGUCGGUUCACAGGUGGUGCAUGGCUGUCGUCAGCUCGUGUCGUGAGAUGUUGGGUUAAGUCCCGCAACGAGCGCAACCCUUGUUCACUGUUGCCAGCACGUUAUGGUGGGGACUCAGUGGAGACCGCCGGGGUCAACUCGGAGGAAGGUGGGGAUGACGUCAAGUCAUCAUGCCCCUUAUGUCCAGGGCUUCACGCAUGCUACAAUGGCUGGUACAGAGAGUGGCGAGCCUGUGAGGGUGAGCGAAUCUCGGAAAGCCGGUCUCAGUUCGGAUUGGGGUCUGCAACUCGACCUCAUGAAGUCGGAGUCGCUAGUAAUCGCA
rnacentral:rRNA from 1 species